AAAUCAAGAAAGAAUUCCUAAAUAAUCUUUAUUUUCUUUUUUCUUUCAGGUAAGUGGAAGCUUUCUCUUCAUGACUUGGGGGAGCAUUUAUUUCCUGUGGCUGGUUAAGGUUUCCAGUUGAAGAAACUGCAGCCUUCACUGAGGAAACACUUGAUUCUUUUCAUGGAGUUAACACACUAAAAUAUGUUUGUGAAAGUUUUGAGAAUGCAUACAUGUGAAUAAAGGUAUACACAUGCAGCAAAAACACAUACAAAGUUGUGGCAAUUUCUAUUACCGACCUAGCUAGGUUA
rnacentral:lncRNA from 1 species